UUAACUUAUUCGGUGUUGUACUCGGACGCACGGAUGCAGGGUUGUGUGGUCCACCGGGGGCCCCGACGCCCGUGAGGGCCGGGUCGCCCCCGAGGCAACAGAGUCGGAAUUCAAAGGGUUGGAGGUCGGGCCCGGGGCCCUCACUCGGUAAUGAUCCCUCCGCAGGUUCACCUACGGAGA
rnacentral:misc_RNA from 1 species